GUUGUAUCAGUGGAAGCCAAUGAAAAUUGAGGCCAGGAAAUAUAGUGAACCUUCAGCUCAACUACUUCUCUAACCAUGGGGUCUCAGCAUGUAGUGAGUAGCUGGUGUCGUGGUUCAGCAGGAUGUCAGUGGCUUGGGACUGUCCUGCAUGACUUUUGCUUCUGCUGUGUUAUCCAGCCUCAAUUCUGCCUACUUCUUAUCCUGCGUGUUUUGGAGCUGGAAUCUGUCAUCACUGGCCUCUGCUUGGUGUUUCCUUCAGGAUCGUUACAGAUUUACACCUGCUGAGAUUCUGCUCCUGUGUGUCUUAUCUUCACAAAUACUCUUCUGUAUGCUGAACUUGUUGGAAGGAAAGAGAAGGCAGCAUGGAAGAGAUGCACACUACAGCUGUUCCUACAAAAAAAAAAAAAAAAAAGGCCCUACAGAUUAAGGGGCUUCACUUCUUUUACAUCUUUAAUUUGUUAACUUUUAGCUACGUUGGAUUUGCCUGAAGAAAGGUUUCAACCAGCAGGACAAAGCAGAUGAAUGUCAUAGCUCAUACACAGUCUCGUUUGGCACCUCCAUCAUCAUAAAUACAUUUAUAGACCCCAUAACUGUGAAGUACUGUGUUUUUAUUUUUCCUUUGUUCCCUGUCCCAUUUCUUGCCUCUUUGCUCUAAGUGCACAGAAGGCCCAAAGCAUAAAAACAUCCUGACCAGUAUGAGCACAAAAUACACUGUAAGGGCACAGUAUAAACUUGUAUAAAUAGAAAAAUCUUUCAGGUCAUAAAGCAUUGCUAGCAUAUGGCAGGUCAGAAGAUGAUUCAAUUCAACUUCUGUCACGAGGUAUCUCAAUGUUAAUAAACUGUUUCAUAUCUUUAUGUAGUUAUUUUUGUACUUCUAUAACAACUAGUCUGCAGAAACACUGGAAUAAAAGGUAUCCAUGCCUUCCCACAUGAACAUGAGCAGGUUUUCAUUGGUUUGGGCAAUCGAAUCCCCACUGUGAACCAGUCCUGCAGCCCAGGAUCUGGAUUUUGCCCAAGAACAGUGAAAAGUGGAACCAGUGAUGGACUUCAGAACCGAAAAUUUGAACACUGCAACAAGUAAUAACAUGUGCCCUGUAGGAGACCUGAUCACUGUGAAAGGAGCAAAUCUGAGUUUGGUCCAGAAUGGCUGCUGUAUGGAAGAAUGACCUGGUCAGCUCAGCUGAUGAGAGAGGUCCUCCUGUUCUCCUGUGCUGCCCUGGAAGUGAGUUACUUCUGUCCAUUUGAGAUCUGCAGCUCUGAAUCUUUUCCAAGUGAAAAGCCUGGAAAAGUUAUUUUCAGUUAUUUUCACUAAAAUCACAACCGUCAGAUGAGGAGCCAUUGUCUACUUUUCUAAUAUAUUAUUGCUUCUUGGUGAGUUUUUUUGCCUGUGAGGUAGGAGAGAACAGCUCACUUUUCUGUUUAGCUUCAGAUAGUUCUAGUAUACAUUUACCUUUCCUGCAUCUGUUAACCAUGGACCUUGUUUCUGUAGAAAAUCACUCUGUCUUGCACACUGUGCUCCAUUGGCUAUGACCAUGUAUAGAGUCUAAUAAUUGUAAAUUAGCAGGCAGUAGGGGAAGUUUGGGUUCUGGUCCAGUCCCUGCUCUCAAGACUGCCUAGUUAUUUUAUGUUGACUUUUCAUUAGAUGAAAUCUAGAAACUAUUCUCUAUGCAAGGCUUAGAACAGAGUCGGUAAUUGUAGAUGAAUCUUUAUUACAGAUAAGGCUUUAAGAAAAGGAAAGUGUUCAUCUAGCAAAGUUGGCAUCAUUAACCUCUUCUGCUCUUGGGGGGUCAAGAGGGUAAGAAGCUGAAUCUCAGUGAAGAACAGUUUCUGAAGUGGUACUUUUGCAGCCAAGUAAAAUUACUUUUAGGUAUUAUGGGUUGGAUUAAACCUCUCUGAAAGUUACUGUACGUUCCAGUAAAUAAGCAGCCUCCUUCAUGAAACUCAAAAUCAGAAGCAGUUGUGCUGUACACAGAAAAUAAUCAGAUUUACUUUGUGGUAUGUAAUCUUAGAUAGCUAUAUUCAAAAUACUGAACCACUACAAUAUUGAAUUUCAAGUUUGCAAGUGGUGACAUGAUGGAACGAAUAGGCAAUGAAUUACAAUUUAUCAUCUGUACACUAUUUGUCUGGAAACUGUGCUCCUGUCCCAUGGUAGAUGCUGUUUGAUUUGGAGGUGGAAAUGUACUGGUGGUCAAAAUGAGGGAUAUUUCAAUUACAUUUGCAGUAGAAGUGCUUGUCGUUGAUUGGGGUGAUGAGUUUAUCUGUUCAAAUGUUGUUAAAUUAUGUUAACCUCUUCAGAACCUGAUUUCCUCCCUACAGAUUCUUUCAGAAUCCUUUCCAAAGUCUGCGCUGAAGGAGGACUUUAUGUUAUAUAUACGUAGUUAUGAAUAUACAGAAUUAGAUAUAUCAGUAUGAAAAUAAGUUCACCUUCAGGAAAAAAAAAAAAAAAAGUAAAGAAUCCAACUUCACAGUUCUUGCAACCAGUGAUAAGCAAUUUGUUACACUACCAGGCCCUGCAUUAUUUUAUGCCUAUAUGAUGAUUAUCAUUUUUUCUUUCUGGUUAAGAGCCUAUAAUUUUAUUCCUCUCCUUCCUUGCAGGUGAGAGUUCAAAAGUAGCAGGUUUUUUUCUGGUUUAUAUUGCAGGCUUUGGACACCGCCAAAAUCUUUCUCUGCCUUCAUUCUCAGUCUUGUGUUUGUAGGUCUUACUUUUCUUUUUUGGUGUAGCUAUUUAGAUUGCACCCUCUUGAAACAGCAACACUGUCAUCAUAUUAUUUUCAGCGCUUGGAACAGUGCAUUGGCAUAACUAGAGCCUUGAAUUAUGGAAUUAAAUAUUGGUACAUUCAUAGUUAUAUGUAUUAGUUAUUUAUUUAUUUUAUAUUAAAAUAAAAUGAUACAAAGGAUAGGAACCAUCUUUGGCAAGUUCUGGUUCCAACCAAAGUAAAGCUAACUGCUUACAGGUUUGUUUUCCCUUCUGAAUGCAUGUAUUUAUCUUUACAAAUCACACAGCAGGAGUGAAGCUGCACAUUCAUUUGACCUUAACUGUAAGAGCUAAGCCUUCUUCAUGUUGACAUGUGUAAGAACCUGAAUCUGUCAUUCCUUUGAAAGAAAAACUUUCUAGUCUUUGAGCUGUUCUUUUAACAAAAGCUUCAGACCAUUGUUCCUCAUGAAUAUUAAUCACACAUGAAAAAAUCAAGUCACAGCUCUGGUGACAGCAUUUGCUUUCUGAGUCUUCUGGCAUGCCUUGCCAAAUGUUAUUUUUGGUAGAACCUCUGAACUAUUUUGCUGCUAAUGGCCUGAAUUAGAGAUGUGUUCAUCCGGUACAGUACAAUGGUGUUCUUAACAUGUGAUUACAUAAAAAGCAGUCAAUAAAUUACUUAGGUUUUACUUUAAAUAGAAAAAUGUCUCUGCCUUUUAGUUUCGUUUAGCUUGGAAUUGACCUGUAUGGCAGUUUGUUACCUUAGGAAAGCGUCUGUGGUAUUCCUUAAGUGCAGUACUGUUAGGUGAAGGCUAAGUGGAAGAAGAGCACUUCUGUCAUCACCUCUGAUGUGUGCACUAUCCUCAGCCCCAGUGUCAGUACCUGGGAAUUUAGGCAUCCUCAGGAAGUUCAGGUUUUGUCCAAAGUGUGGCUCCAGGCUCUGUCCUAGAGCUCAUCCUUUGGAGAAAAAAAUAUCCUGCUCUUCACAGCUCCACUUGAC
rnacentral:lncRNA from 1 species